UACGUAGGGGGCUAGCGUUGUCCGGAUUUAUUGGGCGUAAAGAGCGUGUAGGCGGCCAGGUAGGUCUGCUGUGAAAACUCGAGGCUCAACCUCGAGAUGUCGGCGGAAACCAUCUGGCUAGAGUCCGGAAGAGGAGAGUGGAAUUCCUGGUGUAGCGGUGAAAUGCGUAGAUAUUGGGAGGAACACCAGUGGCGAAAGCGACUUUCUGGGCCAUUCCUGACGCUGAGGUUCGAAAGCUCGGGGAGCAAACAGG
rnacentral:rRNA from 1 species